rnacentral:rRNA from 1 species
GAUGAACGCUGGCGGCGUGCCUAAUACAUGCAAGUCGAGCGAACAGACGAGGAGCUUGCUCCUCUGACGUUAGCGGCGGACGGGUGAGUAACACGUGGAUAACCUACCUAUAAGACUGGGAUAACUUCGGGAAACCGGAGCUAAUACCGGAUAAUAUAUUGAACCGCAUGGUUCACUAGUGAAAGACGGUUUUGCUGUCACUUAUAGAUGGAUCCGCACCGCAUUAGCUAGUUGGUAAGGUAACGGCUUACCAAGGCGACGAUGCGUAGCCGACCUGAGAGGGUGAUCCGCCACCCUGGAACUGAGACACGGUCCAGACUCCUACGGGAGGCAGCAGUAGGGAAUCUUCCGCAAUGGGCGAAAGCCUGACGGAGCAACGCCGCGUGAGUGAUGAAGGUCUUCGGAUCGUAAAACUCUGUUAUUAGGGAAGAACAAAUGUGUAAGUAACUAUGCACGUCUUGACGGUACCUAAUCAGAAAGCCACGGCUAACUACGUG